GAAUUCACUAGUGAUUCAGGCCUAACACAUGCAAAAAGAGCGAACCCUUCGGGGUGAGCGGCGGACGGGUGAGUAACGCGUGGGUAACCUGCCCUAUACACACGGAUAACGUACCGAAAGGUACGCUAAUACGAGAUAAUAUAUUUUCAUCGCAUGUUGAAAAUAUCAAAGCUCCGGCGGUAUAGGAUGGACCCGCGUCUGAUUAGCUAGUUGGUAAGGUAAUGGCUUACCAAGGC
rnacentral:rRNA from 1 species